AUCUCGUGGUGUGGGCAUGUUGCGAUGUAUUCCUGGAGACGUUCGCAGGCUUUCGGGAUGUUUUCAUCCUGGAGUUGUUGAAAAUUGGAAAUCCUGUUCCGAAGGGU